rnacentral:rRNA from 1 species
UCAGGACGAACGCUGGCGGCGUGCUUAACACAUGCAAGUCGAACGGAAAGGCCCUGCUUUGUGGGGUGCUCGAGUGGCGAACGGGUGAGUAACACGUGAGUAACCUGCCCUUGACUUUGGGAUAACUUCAGGAAACUGGGGCUAAUACCGGAUAGGAGCUCCUGCUGCAUGGUGGGGGUUGGAAAGUUUCGGCGGUUGGGGAUGGACUCGCGGCUUAUCAGCUUGUUGGUGGGGUAGUGGCUUACCAAGGCUUUGACGGGUAGCCGGCCUGAGAGGGUGACCGGCCACAUUGGGACUGAGAUACGGCCCAGACUCCUACGGGAGGCAGCAGUGGGGAAUAUUGCACAAUGGGCGGAAGCCUGAUGCAAGCAACGCCGCGUGCGGGAUGACGGCCUUCGGGUUGUAAACCGCUUUCGCCUGUGACGAAGCGUGAGUGACGGUAAUGGGUAAAGAAGCACCGGCUAACUACGUGCCAGCCGCUGC